rnacentral:rRNA from 1 species
AGAGUUUGAUCCUGGCUCAGAAUCAACGCUGGCGGCGUGCCUCAGACAUGCAAGUCGAACGAUUAAACUCUUCUUCGGAAGAGAUAUAGAGUGGCGCACGGGUGAGUAACACGUGGGUAAUUUACCUCUGGGUGGGGAAUAACCAUCGGAAACGAUGGCUAAUACCGCAUAAUGCAGCGGCACCGCAAGGUGACAGUUGUUAAAGCUUUAGUGCCUGGAGAGAAGCCCGCGGCAGAUUAGCUAGUUGGUAAGGUAAUGGCUUACCAAGGCUACGAUCUGUAUCCGGUCUUAGAGGACGGUCGGACACACUGACACUGAAUAACGGGUCAGACUCCUACGGGAGGCAGCAGUCGGGAAUUUUGGGCAAUGGGCGAAAGCCUGACCCAGCAACGCCGCGUGAAGGAUGAAGUAUCUCGGUAUGUAAACUUCGGAAGAAUGGAAAGAAUAAAUGACGGUACCAUUUUUAAGCCCCGGCUACUCCGUGCCAGCAGCCGCGGUAAUACGGGGGGGGCAAGCGUUGUUCGGAUUUACUGGGCGUAAAGGGCGCGUAGGCGGCGUGACAAGUCACUUGUGAAAUCUCCGGGCUUAACUCGGAAUGGUCAAGUGAUACUGUCGUGCUAGAGUGCAGAAGGGGCAAUCGGAAUUCUUGGUGUAGCGGUGAAAUGCGUAGAUAUCAAGAGGAACACCAGAGGCGAAGGCGGAUUGCUGGGCUGACACUGNNNNUGAGGCGCGAAAGCUAGGGUAGCAAACGGGAUUAGAUACCCUAGUAGUCC